UACGUAGGGUGCGAGCGUUGUCCGGAAUUACUGGGCGUAAAGGGAGCGUAGGCGGACUUUUAAGUGAGAUGUGAAAUACCCGGGCUCAACUUGGGUGCUGCAUUUCAAACUGGAAGUCUAGAGUGCAGGAGAGGAGAAUGGAAUUCCUAGUGUAGCGGUGAAAUGCGUAGAGAUUAGGAAGAACACAGUGGCGAAGGCGAUUCUCUGGACUGUAACUGACGCUGAGGCUCGAAAGCGUGGGGAGCAAACAGGAUUAGAUACCCCGGUAGUU
rnacentral:rRNA from 1 species